rnacentral:rRNA from 1 species
GAUGAACGCUGGCGGCGUGCCUAAUACAUGCAAGUCGAGCGAACAGACGAGGAGCUUGCUCCUCUGACGUUAGCGGCGGACGGGUGAGUAACACGUGGAUAACCUACCUAUAAGACUGGGAUAACUUCGGGAAACCGGAGCUAAUACCGGAUAAUAUAUUGAACCGCAUGGUUCAAUAGUGAAAGACGGUUUUGCUGUCACUUCUAGAUGGAUCCGCGCCGCAUUAGCUAGUUGGUAAGGUAACGGCUUACCAAGGCAACGAUGCGUAGCCGACCUGAGAGGGGGAUCGGCCACACUGGAACUGAGACACGGUCCUGACUCCUACGGGAGGCAGCAGUAGAGAAUCUUCCGCAAUGUGCGAAAGCCUGACGGAGCAACGACGCGUGAGUGAUGAAGGUCUUCGGAUCGUAAAACUCUGUUAUUAGGGAAGAACAAAUGUGUAAGUAACUAUGCACGUCUUGACGGUACCUAAGCAGAAAGCCACGGCUAACUACGG